AGUUCUUUCCGCUUUCUCCUUCGAUACUCGCUGACACGCAUUUGUUUGCCUAAAGUGCACUUUUUAACUAACUUGUCUAACGCAACUAAUGAAAGGAUUUGUUAUUGGUUUGGUCUGGUAAGAGCGCAAAAAGGAACAGCAGCCACACCAACUGCCACCUGGUAACUUUGCCCAGGGAAUUAUACAUAAACAUUGCCCAAUCCGGACAAGAAGAGCACACAAUAUAGACGACACACACGAUUCCCAAAAAAUGAAAAAAGAAAUAUGCUCGCAACUUGAAAAAGUAAAUAAAUAUUUGAACAACUUCUUAUGGCCAACUAUUUGUUUGGCAGGCGAAAAGAACAAGUUUUGGGCCAGGCAAAAGCAAAGAGCUCGGCCAGGGCCUGGCAAUCGACAAGUUUUCCUCAUGGGUGGCUCUAAGUUCGGCAGGAAUUGGAUUGGCAAAUUGUUCAGCACAUCA
rnacentral:sRNA from 1 species